CGCCUAUACAUGUAUAUAGAUGUAUAUGUAUUAUAUAUGUAUGCCUGGCUCCCUGUAUGCCAUAUGCUGAGCUCAUCGAGUAUCGAUGACCUCCGUGGAUGGCGUAUGAGGAGCCAUGCAUAUCCUCAUACAUAUAUAUACAUAAUUAUGUGAUGGUG
rnacentral:pre_miRNA from 1 species